GAUCUUCUUAGCCCGUCUUCUCAAGUCCCUGAGCACAGAAAUGGUCUCUGCUGUGUUCAAGAAGAAAAGGAAAUAUGGAAGAUAAAGAUGUCAGCAACAAACCUGGCAUUUGGUUGAAUGAUAUUUUAAAAGGGCUCAAGAACAAAUUGAUGCAAUUCCUAUCAUUCAUCAGCCCUAAGCCAGUUCAACGACCGCAUUAACAGUCAAAAAGGGUGGCUGUCUGUACAUCUCUCAGCACAUGCGUGGCUGCAGGUGGCUGUGGUUAUUGCACUUAGGGGAUGGCUGAAGCUAUGUGUGACUAUUUGGCUCGUGCCACUUCUCCAGCCUCUUCAAAGAUGGGCAGCAUGCAGGGGACACUGAUUCCUGACCAUGUCACAUUGAAGCCUCUUCGAUGUCUGGCGACAAACUGAGCCUAUAAUGGAGUCUGGAUUUUUACCUGUACUGCUUCAAUAUUUUGUUCCGAUGUCACUUUCCUGUGUAAAGAGAGUCUUCCAAGCAUCAAAAAAGGCAGUU